rnacentral:rRNA from 1 species
GACGAACGCUGGCGGCGUGCUUAACACAUGCAAGUCGAACGGAAAGGCCCUGCUUUUGUGGGGUGCUCGAGUGGCGAACGGGUGAGUAACACGUGAGUAACCUGCCCUUGACUUUGGGAUAACUUCAGGAAACUGAGGCUAAUACCGGAUAGGAGCUCCUGCUGCAUGGUGGGGGUUGGAAAGUUUCGGCGGUUGGGGAUGGACUCGCGGCUUAUCAGCUUGUUGGUGGGGUAGUGGCUUACCAAGGCUUUGACGGGUAGCCGGCCUGAGAGGGUGACCGGCCACAUUGGGACUGAGAUACGGCCCAGACUCCUACGGGAGGCAGCAGUGGGGAAUAUUGCACAAUGGGCGGAAGCCUGAUGCAGCAACGCCGCGUGCGGGAUGACGGCCUUCGGGUUGUAAACCGCUUCCGCCUGUGACGAAGCGUGAGUGACGGUAAUGGGUAAAGAAGCACCGGCUAACUACGUG